rnacentral:misc_RNA from 1 species
UCGUUGUGUGAUGUGAUUUAGAAUUUAAGUUUGCUGGCAGACCCUAGCUUCUUAUCAUUCCAGGACUCAAUCAAUUGAGAUGAGGUUGAUAGGACGCUGGGCUCACUGUAAUUCGCAAGAAUUGCAGAGAUGUUCAGCAGAACCUUGACAACUGCAUAGGUAAGUCUGGAAAGAAUAAAGCAUCUCAUGGAUGCAUGAUUCUUGGGAAUCAGCUGAUGCAAUCUGCGCGAGCAGAGAGCUGAGGUUGAUGAACGAGAAUGAUGUUUGAUUCUUGAGUCAAGAGCCGAGACUCUAUAGCGUUCUUUCGAUGUCAUCGAGGCAUCGAGAGUUUGAUUAGUGAUUCAAACCAUUUUCAAUGACAAGCAAUUCAGUUUAACU